UACGGGGGGAGCAAGCGUUGUUCGGAUUUACUGGGCGUAAAGGGCGCGUAGGCGGCCAGCACAAGUCAGUUGUGAAAUCUCCGAGCUUAACUCGGAAAGGUCAACUGAUACUGUGCGGCUAGAGUGCAGAAGGGGCAACUGGAAUUCUUGGUGUAGCGGUGAAAUGCGUAGAGAUGUGGAGGAACACCGAUGGCGAAGGCAGCCCCCUGGGCUAACACUGACGCUCAUGCACGAAAGCGUGGGGAGCAAACAGG
rnacentral:rRNA from 1 species